AUUGAACGCUGGCGACAGGCCUAACACAUGCAAGUCGAACGGUAGCACAGAGGAGCUUGCUCCUUGGGUGACGAGUGGCGGACGGGUGAGUAAUGUCUGGGAAACUGCCCGAUGGAGGGGGAUAACUACUGGAAACGGUAGCUAAUACCGCAUAACGUCGCAAGACCAAAGAGGGGGACCUUCGGGCCUCUUGCCAUCGGUUGUGCCCAGAUGGGAUUAGCUAGUAGGUGGGGUAACGGCUCACCUAGGCGACGAUCCCUAGCUGGUCUGAGAGGAUGACCAGCCACACUGGAACUGAGACACGGCCCAGACUCCUACGGGAGGCAGCAGUGGGGAAUAUUGCACAAUGGGCGCAAGCCUGAUGCAGCCAUGCCGCGUGUAUGAAGAAGGCCUUCGGGUUGUAAAGUACUUUCAGCGGGGAGGAAGGGGUUAAGGUUAAUAACCUUAGCCAUUGACGUUACCCGCAGAAGAAGCACCGGCUAACUCCGUGCCAGCCGCCGCGGUAA
rnacentral:rRNA from 1 species